rnacentral:piRNA from 1 species
UUGCAACAAUGGAGAAUUCCUGAUUGA